rnacentral:lncRNA from 1 species
GGUGGCGGCUCGCUGGUCGCUCCAUUUAGAUACAUCAAUAUUUUUAUUUAAAUAAUAAUAUAUAAUAAACGGACCGUACUGGCUGAGGAUCGGACCCAGUACCAUCCCAUCUCUAGCACCGUAGAUCGACACACUAACUGCUUGAGCUACAGCCGGCCACCAAUUCACAACCAAUACACCAAAAUAUAAUCAUGAAAUGAUGAAUAAAACUAGACGAUGACAUUUUAAAUGCAAGUAAGUUUUUCUGAGUAUAACAAAUGUCAUAGUCACCCUGUACAUACUAUCUAUCUUACAGGUUAAUUUCUAACCAAUUAUAAUGAAUUUGUUAAUUUUCUAAAAAUAAUUAUGACAUUUCAAUUUUAAUGGCUAAAAUUUAUAAUUUGAGUAAUUUUUAAUAUGAAAUAUUUUAUUUCAGCAAAAUUAGAGAUAAUAAUUAAGUUUUGACUUAGCAACAGCAAUAUAAAACACUAAUUCACCACAAUCCGCUAAAACAUCAUCGUGAAACAUCAUCAGCAGAUUAUUAAAACUAUAAAAACCUUUUGAAUGCGGAAUGGAUUUAUACUACUUUCGUCUCUUACCCAAGUUAGAUUCGAAUAAGUAUUUUCUUGUUGAGAUCGAUAUAUAUCGAUCUUACGAUGUUAACAUCUAAACAUUAUAUUUGUGCUCCUAUGAAAUAUCAAGCCUAGAAUCCAAUAAAGCACUUUAUGUAUGCUGUCGCCGAUUGCCGAGUGAUACCGAAGAAUUAAUAAAGUAGUAUGUAGUAGUAUGCAAAUAACCGUUAAAUGGAUUUAAACAUAAAAGAACUUUUGAUAUCAGAUUUUAUGAUAAUCUGUUAAAAUUUUAAUAAAGUCUAG